AUUGAACGCUGGCGGCAUGCUUUACACAUGCAAGUCGAACGGCAGCGCGGGCUUCGGCCUGGCGGCGAGUGGCGAACGGGUGAGUAAUACAUCGGAACGUGCCCAGUAGUGGGGGAUAGCUCGGCGAAAGCCGGAUUAAUACCGCAUACGACCUGAGGGUGAAAGCGGGGGAUCUUCGGACCUCGCGCUAUUGGAGCGGCCGAGGGCGGAUUAGCUAGUUGGUGGGGUAAAGGCCUACCAAGGCGACGAUCUGUAGCUGGUCUGAGAGGACGACCAGCCACACUGGGACUGAGACACGGCCCAGACUCCUACGGGAGGCAGCAGUGGGGAAUUUUGGACAAUGGGCGAAAGCCUGAUCCAGCAAUGCCGCGUGUGUGAUGAAGGCCUUCGGGUUGUAAAGCACUUUUGGCGGGAACGAAAAGGACUGUGCCAAUACCACGGUUCGAUGACGGUACCCGCAGAAUAAGCACCGGCUAACUACGUG
rnacentral:rRNA from 1 species